rnacentral:rRNA from 1 species
GAGUUUGAUCCUGGCUCAGGUUGAACGCUGGCGGCAUGCCUUACACAUGCAAGUCGAACGGCAGCAUGAUCUAGCUUGCUAGAUUGAUGGCGAGUGGCGAACGGGUGAGUAAUACAUCGGAACGUGCCCUGUAGUGGGGGAUAACUAGUCGAAAGAUUAGCUAAUACCGCAUACGACCUGAGGGUGAAAGUGGGGGACCGCAAGGCCUCAUGCUAUAGGAGCGGCCGAUGUCUGAUUAGCUAGUUGGUGGGGUAAAGGCCCACCAAGGCGACGAUCAGUAGCUGGUCUGAGAGGACGAUCAGCCACACUGGGACUGAGACACGGCCCAGACUCCUACGGGAGGCAGCAGUGGGGAAUUUUGGACAAUGGGCGAAAGCCUGAUCCAGCAAUGCCGCGUGUGUGAAGAAGGCCUCGGUUGUAAG